UCCAGACCUCUCAGGUCGUCUGGGGCAGGUCUGCUUUCUGUCCCCAGAGUCAAAACUAAACAAGGAGAAGCAGCGUUCAGUUAUUAUGCUCCGUAUACAGUCAGGUCCAUAAAUAUUGAGACAUCGACGCAAUUCUAAUCUUUUUGGCUCUAUACUCCACCACAAUGGAUUUUAAAUGAAACGAACAAGAUGUGCUUUAACUGCAGACUUGGCCAGGUGUGUGUUAUUCCCUCAUUAUCCCAUUUACAAGGAGCAGAUAAAAGGUCUAGAGUUCAUUUCAAGUGUGCUAUUUUCUAUUUAUUUGCUAUUUGCUAUUUAUCAGUGAAGCAAGACUGAAAAAUCAAAACAAACCCAGCAGAGAGAUAGCAAAAACAUUAGGUGUGGCCAAAUCAACUGUGAGCUCAGCAACACCAAAAGACCCGGAAGACCACGGAAAACAACUGUGGUGGAUGACCGAAUAAUUAAAAUAAUAAUAUAAUAAUAAUAAUAAUAAUAAUAAAAAGAUUAGAAUUGUGUCGAUGUCCCAAUAUUUAUGGACCUGACUGUAUCUGGAACAAACUCCCAGAUAACUGCAGGUCUGCUGAAACUCUUCUUUUAAAUCAAGACUGAAGACUUUGCUUUUUACUGCUGCUUUUAAUUAAAUUAAACCUUUCACUGCACUGUAACGUCCGGUUUUCAUUGUCUUUGUUUUCAGAUAUUCAGUGCCCUGCACUGUAGAUUUUACUGUCCUAUUUUACCCGGUUUUUAAAAUGUGUAGUUUUAUUUUUUCAAUUUCCCUUUGUUGUUUUUAUGUUUAAUGUAAAGCACUUUGAAUUGCCUUGUUGCUGAAAUGUGCUAUACAAAUAAACUUGCUUUGCCUUACAGAGUGAGUCAACGAGAAUCGGGGGACAUCCCGCAGGUAGCAACAGACGAAAGAGCACAGGGAAGACCAGGAGGCCGCCGUACAGAUGUCGUCCACUGUGCAACGCCACUCGUGGAGUGCGCCCUGAUGGCGUCCAGGGGACACACAGGCCUGUGGGAUAGCCUCGCACAGACAGUGAUACAGGUGCUGCGAACAGGCGCUGUGAAGGCGCCAGGUGGCCGUGCGCACUACAUAGCAGAAAAGCGUGCGCACCGGGCGGAGGAGGUGAGAUGUAGCUUCAUCCUCAGACCCAUGGGGGGGAGGAAAGAAGCCGGGAGGGUAAUCACCUGUGAUCAGAAGGAGCUGGUGAUGCUCUGAGGCGUGAAAGCAGUAUUAGGACAGCAGAGCUGCCGUCACCCUGGAUCAGGAGACACAACGGAGCCACAGAGAGGGCAGCCAGAUCGCUGACCCUCUUGGCCGACGUCAGAGCCACGAGUAGAGUGACCUUAGUCGAAAGGAACCGCAGAGCCGCUGUAUCCAAGGGCUCGAAAGGCGCUUGGGUCAGGACCCGUAAAACUGCACCUCCUUCAGGAAACGCUUCACCAGCAGUUUUUGCGUCGGUGAUUAUUCUACCGAAGCUGAAGCACCGAUGUAGUUCCCCGGUUAAUCUGGUCUGAAGUUAAUAAAACAUGAACCACUCACCGGCUGAGCCUCGACCAAAGAUUGAAACAUGGACCAAAGAAGACGUCCACCAGUGGCUGAUGGCCGAGGUCAAAGUUAAUCGGAGUUGUGCAGACUUAUUUGUUGAAGAGGACGUGUCAGGAGAAGUUCUAUUUGCUCACCAAAAGAAAGAUAUUUUAGAUUUAGGAGUAAAACAUGGUCCUGCUGUCAAAAUCACAUCUUAUCUAGAAAAAAUGAAGACAGGAUCACAACAUGAGUCAGAGUUCCCAGCUGGUGUGAAAAACUGGACAAAGGAGCAAGUGGCCGAGUGGUUACUGCAGCACGGGAAGGUCGAUGGCAGGAAGGCAGAACGAUUCAAAGAGGAAGACGUGUCUGGAGAUUGCCUCGUUUGCUUCGGGAAGCAGGAUUUCCUGGAUCUGGAGCUGAAAAAGGGUCCUGCUGUAAAGAUUCUGAAAGAGCUGGAUCAACUGAAAAAUAAACCAGAGCCGACACCGUGUCGCGUCCUUCCUAUCGCACAGCGCAAAAUGAAUCUCUGCAGAAAAAUCUGCCUCCGGAGAAACCACCAAAACAGAAGAAAACUCCUAAAGAGGUGGAGGCACUAACGCCACAAGGGAAGACAAAAGAAACAGCUGAGGUAAAAUUCAACGUUGUAUAUCAUUUACAAACAACAUAAUACUGCC